rnacentral:tRNA from 1 species
GGAGGUAUAGCUCAGUGGUAGAGUGCGUGCUUAGCAUGCACGAGGUCCUAGGUUCAAUCCCCAGUACCUCCA